rnacentral:rRNA from 1 species
CCUACGGGUGGCAGCAGUGGGGAAUAUUGGACAAUGGGCGAAAGCCUGAUCCAGCCAUGCCGCGUGUGUGAAGAAGGCCUUCGGGUUGUAAAGCACUUUCAGUGGGGAAGAAAGCCUUGGGGCUAAUACCCUCGAGGAAGGACAUCACCCACAGAAGAAGCACCGGCUAACUCCGUGCCAGCAGCCGCGGUAAUACGGAGGGUGCGAGCGUUAAUCGGAAUUACUGGGCGUAAAGCGCGCGUAGGCGGUCUGAUAAGCCGGUUGUGAAAGCCCCGGGCUCAACCUGGGAACGGCAUCCGGAACUGUCAGGCUAGAGUGCAGGAGAGGAAGGUAGAAUUCCCGGUGUAGCGGUGAAAUGCGUAGAUCGGGAGGAAUACCAGUGGCGAAGGCGGCCUUCUGGACUGACACUGACGCUGAGGUGCGAAAGCGUGGGUAGCAAACAGGAUUAGAUACCCUGGUAGUC